rnacentral:rRNA from 1 species
GACGAACGCUGGCGGCGUGCUUAACACAUGCAAGUCGAACGGAAAGGCCCUGCUUUUGUGGGGUGCUCGAGUGGCGAACGGGUGAGUAACACGUGAGUAACCUGCCCUUGACUUUGGGAUAACUUCAGGAAACUGGGGCUAAUACCGGAUAGGAGCUCCUGCUGCAUGGUGGGGGUUGGAAAGUUUCGGCGGUUGGGGAUGGACUCGCGGCUUAUCAGCUUGUUGGUGGGGUAGUGGCUUACCAAGGCUUUGACGGGUAGCCGGCCUGAGAGGGUGACCGGCCACAUUGGGACUGAGAUACGGCCCAGACUCCUACGGGGGGCAGCAGUGGGGAAUAUUGCACAAUGGGCGGAAGCCUGAUGCAGCAACGCCGCGUGCGGGAUGACGGCCUUCGGGUUGUAAACCGCUUUCGCCUGUGACGAAGUGUGAGUGACGGUAAUGGGUAAAGAAGCACCGGCUAACUACGUG